ensembl:lncRNA
UUUGCUAAGCGUCGUGACGUGCACGUGACCCCAUUGACCAGCCUUUCCUGCAUGAAUUCUUGACAGCUUUCAAGAUCCAGAUGGGAAGAGGGCAGUGCUAUAGGAGGGGAGACCACUGGUGACAUGCCAGAAUGCUAUGGUGAAUGCCACCGAGUCCAUGGGGACAGUAAUGAGAAAAUGAAGAUGGAUGCUUCUUGGAGCUCAGCUAACGGCUUUGCUCUGGUUCCAUCAUCUGCCUUUAAUGAUUCUGGUUCCCCUAUGGAGAUCAUUGGUUUUCAGCAAGGUCCAGUGAAGAGGCAGAGAACUGAGUUAGCUGUGUCGUCUUAGUGGAGGAAGAACUUUGGACAGACUUCUACGCUUCCCACCCUCUGACACCUGUAGAAAAUCGUCAUUCUAGUCCAGAGUUAUCGGUUUUCCCCUGGACUCCUGCAAACUCCACCUGGAAGAAGAAUCUGUUCUCCAUCUCCGAGGCAGUGGUUCUCACACAUGCUCAUUACAAGAGUCCCUCAAAGGGGCAGAGUCCCAGCUGGAAUCAGGAAAUGUGAUCACAGAAGCCAGGUCAGAGUGAUGUGCCUGUUGGCUUCAAAGACGGAGGACAGGGGCCAUGAGCCAAAGGAUGUGAGCAGCCUCUAGAAGCUGGACAAGGCAAAGAUUCUCUGCCAGAGACUCUGAAAGGAACAGAGCUCCGCCGACAUCUGCGUUAGCCCAGUGAGACCCUUUUUGGACAUCUGGACUAGAGAAUGGAGCCGGUGCCUUCAUCUCUGUAACUAAGACCUGACACGUCCAUGGGGUCCAGCGGGAGGACAGGUGAACUGCUUUGGCUAUUGUGCGUGCUGUGGCUGGAGCCCGCUCAGCAUUCCAUUGGCACGGCGUUUAGAACCUGAGUCUCUGCAAACAUGAUUAAAGGAAAGGAGUUACUAGUUUUUCCUCUCUUCUGGCUGUUAUCUGGGAAGCUCUGAACUCAGAGGAGUUGCCGAGUGGGGGUGUCCUGCAUGAAAGAAGAUGGGAAGGAAAGAACUCCCCAUUUCACCUUCCUAAGCAGUGGAGGAAGGGGAUCAGAAACAGCAAAUGCUGAUGAAAACUCCACUUCCAAAUACAUUCCAUGGCUUAUUUGUGGAGGGAAAUGCUUUUUACCUUUUGAACUUUCAGAUACCUGGCAAAAGCAAAUGGGUUCUCUUGGUUUCCCCACGACUCUGCUGUCUACUGACUUCCUCUCAUAACAAACUUCUCAAGAAGGAUUGGCUCCGCCAUUUCCUUAACAGUAAAGAAGAGAUAUAUUCGGGGAUCAGGGGCCACCAGCCAAAAUAUACAUUGCUACCUUUGUAUCCGGUGCUUCUGUGGCCACAUCAUCUAAUCGCCGAUGAUCAGAACAGUGAACACAUGUGGUGAGAAGAAUUUCAGCAGAGGCGGAAGGCACCACCAGCAGCUUUCUGAAACGGAGCUGUGAGCACGAUGAAUUUAGAGACGAAAGGGACCUCCCUGCUUGGAGAAUUUUCCUAAGAAACAGUGGACUGUUCGCUCACGGGGCUCCAUGUGCUCUAAGUGUAGUUAUAGACCUCUUUCCUAUGUCAUGUCCCCUACUGGGAUGAAGUGUUAUUUUGACUGACUUGUCGAAUGCUGUGGCUUUAAGAGGGGUUGUGAUGUCAGUCCAUCCACUCUUACAGCUGAGUCAUCAGACAUUUACGGAUCAAGUGAACCUACUUGGUCACAUCUGGGAGUAAACCUAGAAUCUGUGGAUUCCCUUUACAGUGGCUUUCCACUGUCCAGUCUCUCUACUGUAUGUGAUCUUAAGGUAGCAAUUCAAAUAAAGUGCAGUGUAGUUUUC